rfam:Candidatus Puniceispirillum marinum IMCC1322, complete genome.
GCAGGAAGGCUGGGUGGACGUUACCCCCGCCAAUCCGGUCAGGUCCGAAAGGAAGCAGCCGCAGUGGGACGUUUACGGGUCGUCCAGUCUUCCGCUUUC